rnacentral:rRNA from 1 species
UCGAUCGAAGAACGCAGCGAAAUGCGAUAAGUAAUGUGAAUUGCAGAAUUCAGUGAAUCAUCGAAUCUUUGAACGCACAUUGCGCCCCGUUUGGUAUUCCGAGGGGCAUGCCUGUUCGAGCGUCAUUACACCACUCAAGCUAUGCUUGGUAUUGGGCGUCGUCCUUAGUUGGGCGCGCCUUAAAGACCUCGGCGAGGCCACUCCGGCUUUAGGCGUAGUAGAAUUUAUUCGAACGUCUGUCAAAGGAGAGGAACUCUGCCGACUGAAACCUUUAUUUUUCUAGGUUGACCUCGGAUCAGGUAGGGAUACCCGCUGAACUUAA